rnacentral:rRNA from 1 species
AUACGGAGGGUCCGAGCGUUAUCCGGAAUUAUUGGGUUUAAAGGGUCCGCAGGCGGGCCGGUAAGUCAGAGGUGAAAGUUUGCGGCUCAACCGUAAAAUUGCCUUUGAUACUGCUGGUCUUGAGUUGCGGUGAAGUGGCUGGAAUAUGUGGUGUAGCGGUGAAAUGCAUAGAUAUCACAUAGAACACCGAUUGCGAAGGCAGGUCACUAACCGCGGACUGACGCUGAUGGACGAAAGCGUGGGGAGCGAACGGGAUUAGAUACCCCGGUAGUCCACGCCGUAAACGAUGGACACUAGCUGUCAGGGAGCUUGCUCUUUGGUGGCCCAGCGAAAGUGAUAAGUGUCCCACCUGGGGAGUACGUCGGCAACGAUGAA